rnacentral:tRNA from 1 species
GCCUGGGUGGCUCAGCGGUUGAGCAUCUGCCUUGUGUUCAGGGCGUGAUCGCAGGUCCUGGGAUUGAGUCCCAGAUCAGGCU